rnacentral:lncRNA from 1 species
GCCCGCUCUCCUGCCUGCAGGCCCUGCUGGGAGGCUCAGCUGGCUCAGCCUGCAGGGCCGGCCUGCCGGGGCUGCCCGCUAUAUUCCAGCGACAUAUUCUUUCAGUUUUGUUAAUCUGGGUCAACAAGAGGAGCUUAGUACUCCACACAAUGACUUAGGAACCUGUGCUGGUGGUGGCACUGGCAUCUUACAGCUGCUCCAUCUGGAGAAGGUUCCAGGUGAUUCCAGCUCUUCAUAUAGCUGCUGCCUCACAGAAUUAGGAUGAGUAGUGGGAAGAACUGAGUGUGGGAAUGAAGCAGAUGGGACAGAGUCCAAGAACCCAAAAGCAAGGAGGAAGAGACAGUACCGGGGCAUGAAUAGCCUUGGAGGGUUCCUGACGCCAGCCUGCAGUUCCUGGAGCUCCAGCACCUCAUCCACAACAUUUGCGAAUGGACAAGGCAGGAGUGAGGAAGAAAGGUUUCAUCUUCAGAGAAGAGGUAUCAGUAGUGUAGGGGUGAAGGUGAUGGAAGAAACGGUUGUGGAACAAAAGGAAUAGAAAGCUCCCGGCAAGGAUGGAGGCAGCACUGUUUGUUGGACAACUGAAUUGGCCCAGGUGGCCCCUGCACUCUCAGGUACCUGAGACUCCACCCGCCUUGCCUUACUGUCCACAUUUACUCAUGGUGACAACCCCCGCCCCCAAAUUUCAUUUGAAUGACAUGCGCAGGUGCAUUUGCACUGAGAUCUUUAUUCUAGGCCUGGGGCCUUGGAGCAGUGGGCAAUUGCAACACAGGACAGAGAAGAGAGUAUUGUUUGUGUCCCUGUGAUCAGACACAUGCACACACUACACACACACACACACACACACACACACACACACACACAAGGACACGGGCACAGACAUGGGUAGUAAUGAGACCUAUUAAGUAUUUUCCCCUCCAGUAGGCAGAUGUGCAUGAUACAUAAAUUACAAAUAAGAGGAACCUUGUGAACACAUUUCAAAGGCAAGAUGAGUGAAUAUCGGUGACUUGUGGUUUUCAUGUAUUUUAUAAUUCAGUUCUUGGUAUAAAAUAUAUUUUAUAUUCCAACCUCGUAUACACCUAUACACUCUUGAAAAAUCGAAAGAAGAGUUUCA